ensembl:lncRNA
AAAUAGCUGGGUUUGGGAGCCCACAGAAAGCCUCUUCAGAACCACCUGGUUGGUUGGGGUCUGGGAGAAGGUAUCCAUUUUUAUCACCCCUGUUGUUUCCAAAAUCCAGCCAAGACCUGGCUAGAUAUAUCAGGAAGCCUGUUAUUCCUGAGGUUACAACGGUAGUCUCCAGUGCCCUGCAAACCCUCAAUGAAAGACACAGCCUGCUUUCAAAGAAUUAAAACGGCUCAACUUCAAAGAGCGGCGUUGCUUAGAGUCACCUGGUGCCACUGUCUCGGUGCCUCCUGUCUGGAGAGAGUCUGGGAGCCGCUGCUUACCACCAUCUCCUGCCCUCCUAACCCGUCGCUGGUUACAUUACGGAAUGGUGGCUGCUACAUGCAGUUUUAGAUCAAUCUACUAUAGUCAUGCUGCCCUGAGACCCAAAUAAUUCCUCUGUGAACUCUGGACACUCCGAAGGUAAAAAUCUCACUUGUUUAUCUUUUUAGAAAAUAGUUAUACUUGCGCCCCUUCUUCCACCCCAGCCCUGGACAACUCAUGUAAAAUCAACUGUGAGAUAAAUAAAAUGAGGAGUCAUUUUAUUAAAGAUCUAGGAAAAGUGCUCAGGUGAUCUGAAAAUGUAAUUAAACCUCUAAAUAAGCGGAUUACUGGCUGAAAAGUGAGAUUGAUAGAUGAACCCCUUCAGCUAAAAAGGAUUGCUUAAUGGACUGAACAACAGUCUUGGACUCUCUCCACCUUGGAAUCGCAGGUCCAGAAUCGGGCAGGCUCCACGCCACCACUUCCCCUCCUAAGACAAAUGAAGCUCCACGAGGCUGCUGUGAGGAGGGCCCAGAGGGGAGACCCCAGGAUGCAUGUGGACGCACAGAUGUGCCACCUGCCUUGUAAAAAUAGCCAAAGACACCCAGAGCACUGUUUCUGGGGGCUCCUCCUGGCUUAUCAUCCAAAAGACCUGAAGACCUUGGUAGUUCCAAAAGGUUAAAUUCACUUCUGACUUUUCGAAAAGAAGAUAUUAAUGGCAAAAUGAAGAGCUGAAAAUGAAGUUAAAAGCUUCGGUAGGACAAAAUAAGCUAAAACAAUGAAGAAUUACCUCCUGUAAUUGUACUUCUACCAUCAAGAGGAAGAGAGAGAAUUCUUUCUUCCUCACUGGCAAACAGGACAAGCUUUCUGACUCCUUUUAUUCUGAAGGUGGUCUUGGUGUGAAUUUUUGGUAACAUAAAAUUUGUCCCCAAUUCUAUGAAGUUGAUAUAUUCCAAGUUUAAAUAUUUGGAAUAUUUUGGAUUUAUCCUCUUGGUUUUCUGCUUUGUUUAAUUUAUAAGCUGAAAUUAAAGGAGCCGUUCUUUGUAGAACUUCAUAACAUUUCCAGAAACCGGCAGAGUCAAAACAUAAUGUCUUUUCUUUGAUAGUGAUAGGAGUUCCGUAACCUACAUGAGCCAUUCAAUUUAUCCUAAGAUAGCAGCAGUCCUGACUCUGGAGCAGAUGGACAAACAUGAAGCUCUGUUAGUUUGCUGCUAUUGGUCAUCUAGCUGUCUUUGCUGUCAGGACUAAAGAUCAGUCUUUAAGCUAACAUCUCACUGGUAAACUAACUCUCAGUAUGAUUGAGUCCACAACAUUUACUGUCAGCCCAGAGAAGGUAGCCUAGUGGAUACCCCUUGGUGAAACCCAAGUUUCUAACUUAGUUUUGCAGAAAAAAUCAUCACUGUCUCUCAAACUAUGAAAGGUAGAAUUCUGUCAUCCUCUCACUUUUGGAAGAGGGCAAGGGCAGAGUCCUUAUUCCUGUCUAAAUCCAUGAGGGAUAUAUCCUGGAGGUCCGUGACCACUCGUGGAGUUUAGCUAGUGAAUAAAUAGCACUUUACUUCUUGGUGAUGAUACAUGUGAAAAAAAUAAACCUAAAACAUACAGGUCAUUUUACAAUCACAGAUUCAACCUAGGAUAAAGGAUUACUUUGAUUUUAAAGUCUAUUUAUGCUCCUGGAGCUCAUCAUCAAGUAAAUUAGUAUUUCCCAUAGCACCCCAGUCUCUUUGGAUUAAAGUAACUCACCAAUUCAUUUGAUUCCCCAGAUACUCAUUUGUUUUCAUUUGGGUUCCAUGUUCUUUUUCUUAUCUCCUUAUGAACUCUGGGAGAAUGACUUAACAUAUGAUUAGUUUCCAGACUGCGUACUCCCUGGUGGUUCAGAUGGUAAAGAACCUGCCUGCUGUAUAGGAGAUCCGGGUUCAAUCCCUGAGUCAGGAAGAUCCCCUGGAGAAGGGAAUGGCAACCCACUCCAGAAUUCCAGCCUGAAGAAUUCCAUGGAUAGAGGAACCUGGUGGGCUACAGUUCAUGGAAUCACAAAGAGUCAGACAUGACUGAGCGACUAACACUUUCACUUUCACAGGAGUCUGUGGUCUUAAGUAAGUACCCCAGACCAUCUAUGGAAUGUACCUUUCUCACUGAUACUUGUCCCAGUGUAAACCCAUCAGGACUGGGGGGUAAAGUUACUUAAAAAAAAAAAAAAACCUGAAGAGAUCAAGAACUGGACAAAUGAGCUUCCUUGUUUUCAUAUAAAUUUGUUUCAUUUCCAGUCAAAAUGAAGCCUUUCGAGUGAACAGCCUGUCUAGUUGCUGCAGAGAUCUUUUACAGUAUUACUGAGUUAAAUGCAUAUAAUCAUAGAAAAUUGGCCUGAUUCAACUGAAAUCUGGAAAAAGAAUAAUCCCUUAUACUUUCAUUUUCUUAAACUGUUCUUUUUUUCUGACCGUGCCUCACAGCUUGCAGGAUCUUAGUUUCCUGACAGAGACUGAACCCAGGCCCUUGGCAGUGCAAACCCAGAGUCCAAACCACUAGACUGCCAGGAAAUUCCCCUUCUUAACAUCAACUUUCUAAAAUGUA